UCUUUAGUCAUGUCCGACUCUUUGCGACCCUAUGGACUGUGAUCCCCCAGGCUCCUCGGUCCAUGGGAUUCUUCAGGCAGGAAUAUUGGAGUGUGUUGUGAUGCCCUCCUCCAAAGGAUCUUCCCGACCCAGGGAUCGAACAUGCAUCUCUUGUACCUCCUGCAUUGGGAGGCGGGUUCUUUACCAAUGACACCACCUGGGAAGUCCAUCCUGCUUAUGAGGGUAAAAUUAUUCCUUCCUUUUGCUUCCCAGAAGAACCAUAUCUCUCACUGUUUCCAAGUCCAACCUCAUACUGCUCCGUGCACAACAGGCCAACAAAUCAAGAGAUGAGGUGCUAGUGCACGGAAUAGCAGCUUUACUUGCAAAGCCACUAGACCAAGGAGAUGGCAGACUAGUGUCCUAAAGAACCAUCUUACUGGAGUUAGAAUUGAGGCUCCUUUUAUACUAAAAGGGAAGGGAAUGUUGCUGGUUGUUGUAAACUUCUCGGUGCUGGCCAGAACCUGGAGGAGAUGUGAUAAUCCUUUGUUCUUGCAGUUGUCCAUGUAGGUCUGGUCACCAUGUUCCCCUAAUCCUUCAACAAGACAAAUGUUAUUGUCUGUUCUGCAAUUUUUUUUAUCCCUAUAUGGGUGAAAAGCGUAAUAUCUUUAAAGGUCAAGCCUGGAAGGCAGAUCUCAUUAUGUGUAUUUCAGGCUGUAGGCAGCAUUCCUUUACCAAGGUCCAGAACCAAUGUGAUAGAAUACAGAACACAGCACCCUGUCUGCAAAAGAAGCACAAUUCUAUUGCUCUGUCUUGCUUAUAGUCAUUAAAUCAUUACUUUUACAUAUAUUGCUGUUACUUCUGCUUUCUUUAAAGAUACAGUAAAGUUUUAUGAAACCACAAAAUACAUAUAUUUUUAUUUUGACCUAAAUUUGUACAGUCCCAUUGUAAGUGUUGUUUCUAAUUAUAGAUGUAAAUUUAAAUUUCAUUUGUAAUUGGAAAAAAUCCAAUAAAAAAGAUAUUCAUUUAGAAAAUAGCUAAGGC
rnacentral:lncRNA from 1 species